rnacentral:lncRNA from 1 species
CCAAGUCUUCCAUAAAUUUGGACAGAUUCCACGAUUGGAAUUGCUAGGUUUCUUAUGUUUGAUUUAGGGUUCGAACGUUUCUAGCCAGAUUCAAACCAAACUAAGAGUGGUUUGGUAACUAGGGAGGUCAGGGGGGAUGUCUGGUGUGAGUUUGGGCUUGGUUGGGGUAGGGUCGAGUUCUGCUCGAAUCUUCAAAUGAAGAUUCGAGAAGUUCCAGUUUGAUUCGAGCUAAAUAGUUCAUGGAUUUGGAUUGGGG